rnacentral:tRNA from 1 species
GGCCAGGUGGCGAAGUGGUAACGCUUCGGUUUGCAAAACCGACAUGCACGGGUUCGAACCCCGUCCUGGCCU